GAGGGCAUAGCUCAGUUGUAAAUAAAGCGCAUGCCUGGCAUGCACGAGGUCCUGGGUUCAAUCCCCAGUACCUUUA
rfam:Camelus ferus unplaced genomic scaffold scaffold15685, whole genome shotgun sequence.